UACGGAGGAUGCGAGCGUUAUCCGGAAUCACUGGGUUUAAAGGGUGCGUAGGCGGGUUAAUAAGUCAGGGGUGAAAGCUGGUCGCUUAACGAUCAAAUUGCCUCUGAUACUGUUAAUCUUGAAAUAUGAUGAGGUUGGCGGAAUGUGACAUGUAGCGGUGAAAUGCAUAGAUAUGUCAUAGAACACCAAUUGCGAAGGCAGCUGACUGGUCAUUAUUUGACGCUGAGGCACGAAAGCGUGGGGAGCGAACAGG
rnacentral:rRNA from 1 species